ACGGGUGAGUAACACGUGGAUAACCUACCUAUAAGAUUGGGAUAACUUCGGGAAACCGGAGCUAAUACCGGAUAAUAUAUUGAACCGCAUGGUUCAAUAGUGAAAGACGGUUUUGCUGUCACUUAUAGAUGGAUCCGCGCCGCAUUAGCUAGUUGGUAAGGUAACGGCUUACCAAGGCAACGAUGCGUAGCCGACCUGAGAGGGUGAUCGGCCACACUGGAACUGAGACACGGUCCAGACUCCUACGGGAGGCAGCAGUAGGGAAUCUUCCGCAAUGGGCGAAAGCCUGACGGAGCAACGCCGCGUGAGUGAUGAAGGUCUUCGGAUCGUAAAACUCUGUUAUUAGGGAAGAACAAAUGUGUAAGUAACUAUGCACGUCUUGACGGUACCUAAUCAGAAAGCCACGGCUAACUACGUGCCAGCAGCCGCGGUAAUACGUAGGUGGCAAGCGUUAUCCGGAAUUAUUGGGCGUAAAGCGCGCGUAGGCGGUUUUUUAAGUCUGAUGUGAAAGCCCACGGCUCAACCGUGGAGGGUCAUUGGAAACUGGAAAACUUGAGUGCAGAAGAGGAAAGUGGAAUU
rnacentral:rRNA from 1 species